rnacentral:rRNA from 1 species
CAGUCGCCGCGGUAAUACGUAGGUGGCAAGCGUUGUCCGGAAUUAUUGGGCGUAAAGGGCUCGCAGGCGGUUUCUUAAGUCUGAUGUGAAAGCCCCCUGCUCAACCGGGGAGGGUCAUUGGAAACUGGGAAACUUGAGUGCAGAAGAGGAGAGUGGAAUUCCACGUGUAGCGGUGAAAUGCGUAGAGAUGUGGAGGAACACCAGUGGCGAAGGCGACUCUCUGGUCUGUAACUGACGCUGAGGAGCGAAAGCGUGGGGAGCGAACAGGAUUAGAUACCCCUGUAGUCCCUGUCUCUUAUAC